GCUGUGAUGGCCGAGAGGUUAAGGCAAUGAACUUAACAUCCAAUGCGGUUUCCCAGCGCAGGAUCGAUCCCUGCUCACAGCA